rnacentral:rRNA from 1 species
UACGUAGGGGGGCUAGCGUUGUCCGGAAUCAUUGGGCGUAAAGAGCGUGUAGGCGGCCCGGUAAGUCCGCUGUGAAAGUCGGGGGCUCAACCCUCGGAUGCCGGUGGAUACUGUCGGGCUCGAGUACGGAAGAGGCGGGUGGAAUUCCUGGUGUAGCGGUGAAAUGCGCAGAUAUCAGGAGGAACACCAAUUGCGAAGGCAGCUCGCUGGGACGUUACUGACGCUGAGACGCGAAAGCGUGGGGGAGCAAACAGG